GGUCUGUGCACUCAUGUACUUAAGUGCCUUCCCACAUCUUGCUUCUCCGUCUCUGGGGCGGGCGUCUGGGGGCCUUCUCAGCACCAACCUGGACUGCUGGGCGCCUCUGAUCUCUAGCGGCCCUUCUCACUUUUCUGCCAGUCUGGGUGCUGGAGGUGGGACCACUGGCUGGCCCCGCCCCUGGCUCCCAUCCAAUCACCGUCCCUCCCUCCGGGGGCUGGGCCUACGGGCUGCACUCCAAGCAGCUAGCUCCCGCACUAGGCUCCCAGCCAGGGAAGAUGCACCGAUACUACCGCUGCUGUUGCUGCUGCCUGCGGCCGCCUGGUACCCUAAAGCUGCUGCUGUUGCUGCCACUUGUCCUUGUACCUACUCUGGCAGCAGCCACAACGGCCCCAAACCUCUGUGACACCAUAUACCAGGGCUUCGCUGAGUGUCUCAUCCGCUUGGGGGACGGCAUGGGCCGCGGAGGCGAGCUGGAAACCAUCUGCAGGUCUUGGAAUGACUUCCAUGCCUGUGCCUCGCGGGUCCUGUCGGGCUGCCCAGAGGAGGCGGCUGCUGUGUGGGAGUCACUACAGCAAGAGGCUCGCAGGGCCCCGCACCGGGAUAACUUGCACACUCUGUGCGGUGCCCCCGUAAGCGUCCGGGAGCGGGGCGCGGGCCCCGAGACCAACCAGGAGACGCUGCGGGGGACAGCGCUUGCACCUGCCCCUGCCCCCGCACCCCCGCUGCUGGCAGCCGCUCUGGCGCUGGCCUGCCUCCUGGGGCCUCUGGCCUAGCCAGUCGGGUCUGCAGGCAGCGCCCGUGCCUCCACCCCUGCUCCGGCGGCCGCGUUGUCCGGGCUCUGCAGAGCGGCAUGACUUUUCAUUAAAGGUCCCAAGAGCUACGAUGGAGACCCGAGAACUGCAGGAACGCAUAGCCUUUCUCUGCCUUCCUGGGCUGACUCCCUCCGGGGACCUGGCUGGAUGGGAAAGACAGGAGUUCUCAGCCCCUCCAUCCUUGCACUGCCUGCUUCUCCUGCCCCUGGCCCCUGGGUGGACUGCCCUGCAUCUCGCGCCCCUCCCCAGGCUCAUUCCAGCCUCCAGGCUCUUCACCAUCUCCCCUCCUCCUCCCUCUGCUGAACUGUCCUCUCCACCUUCAACACACAGCUCAGACUAUAUCCGCAGUACCCUCCUCUGGGUCCCUGGUCCAUCUGAGGGGGGCCUGUUCCAGAAGGUGGGGAGCCCCUGUUGGAAUCCACAUUCAAGCUCCUGACACGACCUGAAGCUACAGAAACUGGGGUCACAAUAAGGGAUCCUCUGGCCUCUGCUCUCCACAAGCUUGUUCUUUGAGAAGAGGUAUGCAGCGUGAAGUCAAAACAAUCCCAGAAGACUUUCUGGAAGCAGUGGAGUGAGAGUGUGUGGUGUGUUCAUCCUGCUGGAAAGGACGGGCAAGACUCAGCACAUGGGCAGAAUCUGAGGAAGGAAGGGGCUUCAGAGAGGGUGGGAUCCUCUUUUGACCAGUCCUUUAUCAUCAGCACCAGGACCCUGUUCCAAGCCAUCACUCCAUGAGUUCUGUAGGGCACAGCCAUGGUCUCCUCACUGGUUUCUAUUACUCCCUGCACUUUAUUCUCUACUUUUGAAAUUGAAAUCUUGAUCCGUAUGUUCUUUCUCCUUGUCUACAAGGCCCUACAUAAGCCAGCUCUGACCACUUCUGCAACUCCUUCUGUAGCAGCACAAAGGAGCUAUCCACCUACCCAGUCCUUGGGGUCAGGGGAGGCUUCAGAGAAGUGGCACCCACAUAGGGGUGAUAAGAGGUAGGAUGUGAGACUUAACAGUGUUGGGCUUUACAAGAGGGGUCCCCAAAGCAGUCACAGCCAGGAGGGAGGGAGUGGUGGGAGGCCAGAUCUCGGCAGACCAAGCUUAUGCUGAAGCUCAUGCUGGGAGGCUGCUGCCCCCUGGGACAUAGUUAGGCUUGAUGAGACCCUUGUUUAGGCUCUAGGGAGACAGCUGUUUCCACCCACAUGUGUAGAAACCUUACCUCAUCCAUGCUUCCUAAUUAACUCUCUCUCUGCCCUUUGCUCUCCCUUCCUUUAUUCCUGUGCUUCCUGCACCUAGAUUUUUAUUUAUCCCCACUUCUGUCCCCCAAUCAGUCAUUACCCGUCUUCUCACAUCACCUGAAGAAAGUUCUGGGGAAAACCCUCCUGGAUCUGCCCUAUUUCUUUUUUUUUUUUUUGAGAUGGGGGUCUCAUUAUGUUGCUCAGGCUGGUC